UACAGAGGGUGCGAGCGUUGUCCGGAAUUAUUGGGCGUAAAGAGCUCGUAGGCGGCUCGGUAAGUCAGGUGUGAAACCUCCAGGCUCAACCUGGAGACGCCACCUGAUACUGCUGUGGCUAGAGUCCGGUAGGGGAGCGUGGAAUUCCUGGUGUAGCGGUGAAAUGCGCAGAUAUCAGGAGGAACACCAGCGGCGAAGGCGGCGCUCUGGGCCGGAACUGACGCUGAGGAGCGAAAGCGUGGGUAGCAAACAGGA
rnacentral:rRNA from 1 species